AUGAGCGUGUCGCUGCACGGCGGCGGCGAAGCUGGAGCGCAGGUGGAGAGCGGAGGAGCUGCAGUGAAACAGCCAUGGUUCUGCACGUCGGCAGCGGAGACGCAGCGUAACAGCCAUGGUGUUGCGCACCGUCGGCAGAGCUACAGGCAACACGCCCGUGAGCGAGAGAGCUGCAGUGCAACGGGUGGUGUGGUGCUCUGCUCCGGCGAAGGAGCUGCAACGGAACACGCCGGUGUUGCUAUGGAGCGUCGUCAGGCCGCCAAUGUUGUAUUGGAUCAUUGCCGGAGGCCUCUCGUGCUGCGAUGA
rnacentral:rRNA from 1 species